rnacentral:lncRNA from 1 species
CCAGAUCCCACCACCUGAAGCUCCCAAGAAAGUUCCGAAAUCUAAGGGGACAAGCUAACACAGUUAAGGUAAUAAAUCUGUUAGAAAAUUCCAAGUGCUUUCAUUGUACUGAAAUUGGUGGAGUGCACGAACGACCCGGUCUGCUACAAGUGUAAGCAGUCUGGACACAUGGCAAUGGAAUGCGCCGGUAUUCACUGCAAGAGGCUCAAGCUAUUUGGAUUGGGAUUUCAGGACAAGGGUUUUACUCUAUCAUGAUUCCUGACAUAGAAAAGGCUGAUAAAUUUGGUGGACUAAUCUCUAUGAUUG